rnacentral:tRNA from 1 species
UGGGGAUAUAGCUCAGUUGGUAGAGUGCAUGCCUUGCCCGCACAAGGCCAUGGGUUCAAUCCCCAGCACCUAA